CUUGUGCUUUAGGAGUUUUGUUAGGGAAGUUGAAGCCUAAUCAGAUGUGAUAAAGAUUUGGGCCUGUUUUUUCCUCAAUUAGGUACAGGAUCUCUGGUCUAAUUCCUAGGUCCUUGAUCCACUUUGAGUUGAGUUUUGUGCAUGGUGAGAGAGAUGGGUUGAGUUUCAUUUUGCUUUUUUGCAUGCAGUUUAUCACUGAGCUACGUCCCUGACCAGAAGCAAACAUUUUUGUAUGUGGCCUGAACCAGUCGUUGUAAGCUCAGGGUUUUUUCAUGAAUUACUCAUUUAACCUCCCUACCUCUCAUUCUGCUUCUUAUUUACAUUAUGGCCAUAAUGACACUAAUUGGGCAGUAAGAAAUGUCAAGUGAAAAAGGAAAGUUAGUGCUUUUAAUAAAAUGAGUUUUUUUCCUUAUCUAUGCCAUCUGCAAAUCCUUUUCACUUAGAUUUGAUGCUAUUGGAAAACAAGUCUUGACAAUUUUCAUUUAUUCAGGCGGCUGCUUAUCCAAUUUGGCAAUUAUCACUUCCUUCUCUGGUCUCUCCUGCUGCUACUCUUAUCUUAGCCUUUUCACUGUUCCUCCUCCACUAGGCAAGGAGAGGGAGAAGAAAAUAAAACCUAAGCAGUAAAUGCUGUAACUUAUUUUAAUUUCAUCAGUUGAUAACUGUGAGGCAGUCUAUAGGUUUGGGAUGUACAACAUUUAGGACUAAUUGUUUUGAAUUUUAAAAAAAACAAUCACUAUCUGGUCUGGAUUGUGGCUUAAUGAUAGACUAUGUGCUAGCAUGUGUGAAGUUCUGGAUUCAGUCCCUAGUACCAAAAAUAAAAAACAAAAAAAUUUGAAAUAAUUUUGAAAAGUUUCUGUCUUACAGGCACCUUUUGGUAUUGUGAGCCAAAGUGGACUGACUGAUGAUAUGGUCCAGAAUAUACCUAGGGCAAGUAGUUGAGUGCUUCUCAGUAAAGGAGCCUGGAAAGCCUGCUUGCCUUCCCCCUUCUUCAGCAAAUAGCUCUUGAGUAUACACUAUUCUGGAACCACAGCUAAACAAAACAGAAACCCCAACAGUGGGGAUUCAUGGAGGUGCUAUGCUUAUUAUCUAUGAAAAUAACUCAACUCUCUCAAAAUAUAGAAUGUCAGCCUCAUUCUGGCAGGAACAUUUGGUAUUACCUGCUGAGAUAGAAAGAUCAAAAGUCAUUCCCCCCCCCCUUCAUUUCUGCCUGAUUACUGCAUCUCCAAGAUUAACAUGGUCUGUUGAAACAGGGUUGACAGACUCUGGAGAAGCAGAGUCUUUACUGUUAUGUCCCCAGCUUUAUUUAGAGCAGCCAUCUCUUUCUUCCCCUGGAAGUUCAAUCUUCUUCCAUGAGACUGCUCUCCAAGAGCUUUGUAUUUGUGUUUGCAGAAGUUGGAAUCUGGAGAGCAAUAUUCCUUGUGGAUUAAUUGCCAAAGUAAUUAUAUUGUAAAAUAAUAUGCAUGAUUGAUACUUGAUAUAUGCCUCUCCAGGGAGCUGGAGAGCUUCAUUGAUUUGGAGAGAUGAGCCAGUCACUAAUUCAGGAGCAGAACUUGGUAGGAAAAGCCAAACUGAUGGCCUGGACCUAAAGGCCAGGAGCAGGUGAUGGGAUCUGGAUGAAGUGCAAGCAUCAUAAUCAUAAAGAGUGCUGCACCAAGCAGUGUCCCAGCAGUCACAUCUUAAGAAAUCACAAAUCUCUAGGAGGUGCCAGGCUGCAGGGUGAGAGGCUAACAGCAUGUCCUCAUGUUCAGACUCUUGCCUUGUUCAGAAUGAGCAUCCCUAGAAUCUGCAAAGGGACAUGCCAGUGGAAAAUUUCCCUGCUGCAUUCUUGCCACCAUCACCAGCACUGAUUUGAAGGAUACUGGCUUGAAAGCAUUAUCUGGCACUUCUGUUGAGUCUCUUCCUCUCCCUUCUGUUUGAGCAGGGCACGUGCAGCCUUUCCAAGUGGGUGGCGUCCACAUAAGGAGGAUGCCUUAUUUAUUUUGGGUCCAUGAGCUUGUGUAACAUGCCUAUUUAACACCCUCCUAAAAGCACUGUCAGCACAUGAGCAAGUAAGGAAGCCCACUAAAUCCUGCCUCUUCUGAGCACAGUGAGCUGUUGAAGGUUGUUCCUGCAGCUAUGUAUUUAUGGACAGGGGCUGGAGUUAUGACAUUUAUCUCUGUUGGUUAGGGUACUGAUAUAUAUCUGCCUACAUCUUCCAUGGAGAGCUGCACCUUAUCUUGAGAGAGAGCAAUGAGAGUGCUCCCGUAACUUAUCCUGCCCAGCACUACUGGGACUGCCUGUGGGAGGCCACUUCCCCCUCCUAACCAGGGGCUCUUAGAGGGAGCGCGCUAUUAUAUGUACAAUGGGGGCUUUGCUGAUAAAGUUUUCUAGGAUAUAAAACAGGAGAGCAAAAACUACAGCUCCUUAAUAAGCUCUCCUCUGGGUGUCACAUUCUGAUCUGCUUCCAGGCAUGACCUCUUCCUCAGGCAUAGUGUCAGGAAUCUUUGGGGGUUUUAUGAUCAGUUUAUUCUCAGACAGCAUUCCUUUUUCCUUACGAGUCUUCCUGCUUCUGGCCUUGUGACUCUUCUGGUCGGUCUUCCUUCUGUGACCAUCCCAAGGGCCCUGGGGGUUGAAGUGGUCAGGAGGGACUCCAAGAAGGCCUACGGCUUCAGCAGAAUACUGAAGGCUGUUUCCUGGUCUCUCUCAGUGAUUAUUCCUGGCUUGCUGCUGAGUUCCAGGGAUAGGAGCAAACCACAGUUGAGGACAGAUUAUUGCCUCCUCAUCUCAGGCAUGAUGCUGUGGUUCAAGCAGUCUUGUGGUCAUAAUAUGCAUUGGUGAGUCUGUGUGUGUGUGUGUGUUUUGCCACCAUCUUCUUGACACUGUCCUUUUAUCAUUAUUUUACUGCACAUGCAUUAUCACCAUAUCCCACACUGUGUAACUUACUUGUUAUCUUUUUCCCCUCCUCAGAGUAUAAGGUCCAUGAGGCAGGGAUUCUUGUUUCUUCAUUCCCUGCUAUUUCCUCUGCACCUAGAGCACUGACUGGUUCAAAAGAGACAUUGAUUCAGCAGUGACCACUCUCUGAACAAGACCCUAGAGGCCUUGUAGAAACAUUUACCAGUUUGCUCUUCAUGGCCAGUGGAACAGCAAACUAUUAAAUUGCAUAGUCCUAUAGUUCCAUCCCUAAUUCCCCCAAGAAAAUAGUAUAGUUUUUCUUAAGAGGUGUCUUGCCAUGUUACCCCUGUUGCUUCUGAGCCUUGGGAAUAGAGAAAGAGAAAUAACAACAUUUUAGACCAUGUUGGCAUCCUGUGAAACCAGCAAAGCAGCCCUUAGUAACUUUUCUCUCCUGCAGAGGUUCUCAGCAUCCUGAGGAAAACCUGGCCCUGUGUGUUUAGCCAGUUUGAUGGCCAUGUCAUUGGGAGAAUGCCUUUAAUGAAGUAAAACUCAUUCCCUUUCUUCUGUGGUUACAACUGCCAUCCUAUUCGUUCAAAACACAGAAUAACAAUAUGACCUCCUUAGUUUCUUUUUUCAGACUGCUAUCUCUUGGGAGUCUAUUGUUUCUGUUUCAUUUGGACCUUUCAAAUAAUGCCAAGAUGGAGGCAUCAACUGAGCAGCCUUUAUUACACAGAGGUCUGGGUCUAUAUUCCUCCGCAUUCUUAGACUAGGAAUUAUGUGAUGGUGGUGGUGAUGAUGGUCAUGAUGAUGUCUGUAGCUAAUGGGGUCAUGAUAAGCUGGUAUGGGAGUUCAUGUUUAAGGCUGGAGGACUUAAAAAAUACAAAAUGAACUACCAAAAGUCCCCAGCAAAAUCUUCUGAAAGACCAGUAGUUCAAGGCCCACCCAGAUUCAAGAUUCAGGUCAGCUACUGGAAACUUGGCACAUUCAAAUUACACUUGUUCUUGCCACCCAAAGAUUGAAAACUUUUCUUGAAUGACUUUAGUGGAUACUUCACCAGUUCUUCUAUAUGCUUUAUAAUGAAAUGUCUAAUAUAAUACACAUAGUAAUCCUAUUUUCAUUUAAUAUACAUAAUAAUCCUAUUUUCAUUUUAAUUUUUGUUCUGUUCUACUGGUAAGGAUACUAAUCCCUGGGCUACAUACAUGGCAACAUGUAUGUCACACAUGGUGGCCCUGAGGUGUAGAACAAGAUGAACCCUUAACCUCUUUACUCUACCUUUGAAUACCAGGGUUGACACAGUGUUGUAAACAUACUACUUUUGUAGAGCUGGGGUUCAGGUUUCCCAUAGAAAUUCAAGCUUCUGUCAUGAUAAGCUGAUAUGGGGUUCCAUGUUGAAGGCUGGACCCCCAGGCUUCUGUUUGAAUAUAUGUGAAGCCACUGAAUAAAUGCAACAGAUCUUUAGUUCUUCAAAAGUCCUCAUGGACUUCUCUGUCUAGCUUGCCUGCUCCUUCUCUGUGGAACUCUGCCUGCUGCUUUGGAAAGAGACAAGUGGGGCUCUCCCCAGCAGCAGCUGCCUGCCUACCUUCUCUCUGGGCCUCUGCAGAAUACAUAGGGGAGGCUGCAGAGGGGAGUCAGUGGACUGCAUAUUAGAGGCAUUCACUAUGAGGACAGAGCAGAACCAGUGACUUCUGCCCCCUGAAUUCUCUUAACAAAGAAAGUUCAGCCUGAGUGGGGUGUAGGGAUGGUGAGAGAGCAUACCUGGAAGGUAACAUGCUCAACCAUUGCUGCUCUUUACAGUUCUAAGGCAGUGCUCAGGUGACUGGUUAAUAAAAAUGAAUAUACUGUUGGAAGCUACAUUUGUGUGGGGCUUUUUGUUGCUGUUGUUAAAUUGGCUAAUUUAACACUAUCCUAGGAUGGCAGUGAUGAUAAUAGCAGCAGCCCACGAGUUCAGGAAAAGGUGGGGCAGUUCGCUCCAGAGCUUCCCCAGGCAUUGCUCUUUGAGGAAAUGGGAUAAACAAUAGCUAGACAUCCGCUGGCAAGAGCCCUUGGGACUCUGCAGCAUGCUUACCAGAUCUGCAUGGGUCCUGGGGAUGCCACUUAGGAGUUUUCUCUGCACACUACGUUGUAAUCAUUUUUUUUAUCCACAUUCCCACACAUGGUGCUGUCUAUAUAUUUAUUCAUCCCUGGAUGCCAUUUUAACAAUGGCUUUCCAUUUCACACAUAGUACAAGCCAGCAUCUUACUCUGGCUUACCUUCCUUGCCCUGUGCUUUCUCUCUCAUCUCCUAUACCUCCCACUUCACUGUCUGCUCCUGGACUAUGGCCUUUGCACUUGGUACUCUUCUCCUGGAUGCCCCUGUGGCUCAGUCUUCCCAUUCCUCCAGACCUUUGGUUGGAUGCCACCUUCUCCACAAGGUUCUUCCUUAUUCUCCUCUUUAAAAUUACAAAGCAUCCUCUCACUCUCCUUCCAUGCUUUAUUUUCCUUCAUGGCACUGUCACCAUCUAUAAGAAUAUAUAUUUUACUUGUUUCUCUUGCUGUUUCCACCAGAAUGUCAAGUUCCAAGAAGGCAAGAUUCUGUUUUGUUCCUUGCUAUGUGUAAUCCCCAGCAUGUAGAAUGAUGCCUUACACAUAGUAAGAUCUUGAUGAAGCCUCUGUCAUUUUUUUCCCCUGGGUCCACAUGACAAUACCUGGACCAGUAUCAUCCCUGUUGACACAGACUCUGUUUUUCUCAAGCUUCUGGAAUAGAUUCGCAUAUUGAUUUCUAGCCAAAGGCAGGGAUGGGGCAUAAGCAAUAGGCAGUUGGUAAGUCAGGGCAUGAUGUGGAACUGCCCACAUUCCACAUUCACGUUACAGGUCCAAACAUUAUUAGUACCAACCCUUGCAACAACAAAAAUGAUCCCUACCUCCCCACACACAUACAUUUUCUAAUACCCUUUGAAGGUUGAUGAUGAUGCUGCUCCUUGAAAACCGCUUAUCUUUAGUAGAAUAAAGAAAACAUUUUAUUACAGUCAUCUAGAAAGGGGUAGGGUGCACAAGUUCUGUUGAGGAACAUUGAGGACCCAUCUGAGGUUAAGUAAUUAUGAAUUAAUAAUGAAAUUCAUUCAACCUGCUUAUAUGUCGCAUUCAGUUCAGCGACAUAUAAGCAGCCACAGGGGAGGCUUCAGUAGCUGAGAAAGAAGAUAUUAAAUCUGUAUUCACCAUGAUCCUUCUGUGUUGAUUUGUGAAAAAGAAAUGGACUAGGUUGUCAUCUAAUGGACUAGUUGUCAUCACUCAGAUCUUCUCUGAGUGAUACUUUAGGAAGGAGAUUAAGACCAAAUUUUGAGACCCUUUAAGGGAUUAUAUCCAAUGCUAUAGUGUUAUAAUGAAACUUGGAGUAAAACUCCGCUUCUGUGAGAUUCCAUACUUGCCUUCCAGCUGCCCAGGAACAUACUGGGAUGAAUCUUGGUGAAAUCACAAGGGAAGGUAAGUCUUAGGAAGAAAGUUUUCUAGUCCCAUGUCUUGGGAGGCAUAGGCUCGUCUCUAGCAGAGGGUGCUCCAAGCCUUAUAAAAUCAACCUGCCUUUUCCUGGUGAAAGUGGUCAUUAUUAAAUGUAUCACUAUCCUCUUGGACUACAGAAAAAUGCAGAUAAAGACCCUCUGUAGGUUUUUCUGUAUCCAGAGCAUUUUAUCCAGAUAGUUUAUUACGUUUGAAGAUGAUGGAAAUAUUUAUAUAUUUAUACCUACUUUACACAAUUAAAACUACUUGGUAAAUAAAGUAAGAUAAAGUUGUAAUAUAUAGUGGAUAUAAAUAUAAAUAUCUUUAUCCAUGAGGGAUAUAUUUCAAGACCUCUAGUAGAUGUCUGAAACCACAAAUAGUAAGCAAGCCCUAUGUAUGUAUUCUCUUUCACAUACAUACCUGUGAUAAAGUUCAAUUUAUAAAUUAGGCACAGUAAGAUUAAGAACAAUAACUAAUAAUAAACUAGAAUAUUAUUACAAUAUACUGUUAUAAAGUUUAAGUGAACAUGAUCCCUGCUUCUCUCCCUCUUAAAGUAUCUUACUAUACUUUCACAUUUUUACUUAAAAGAAGCACUUUCCUGAAUUUCUUUGGCAUAUCUGAAUUGCCAGCAUCAUUAUUCUUGCACUUUGAAGCCAUGCUUAAGUUAAGUAAGGCUCUGUAAUACCACAAUGGUCAGUCUGAUAACCAUGGCAGCCAGUAAGUUACUAACAGCAGGACGACCUGAGAUUUCAUCUCACCGUCCAGGAUGGCAUGUCAUUUAAAACUUAGGAAUUGUUUAUUUCUGAAACUUUCCACGAUUGACCAUGGGUAACUGAAACUUUGGGAAAGCAAAAUUGUGGGUAAAGGGAGACAACUGUAUUGCCUGUGUGUAUUUUUUUAUAAUAAUCAGUGGCAAUUUUUUUCUUACAAUAACUACAAAUAAUGUUUACUUACAUUUUCUUUACAAGUGAAGCUACAUGACAGCGAGACCUAGAUUCAGGCAUCUUCGUUCUGAGCUACUUGAAAAGCAGACUAAAGCUUGAGAAUAAGAGAAACCUUUGGAAGGUAGUAAAACAAAAAAUUAGAUUCUUGAUUGAGUGUUUGCUACUAUUAAAAAAAAAAUGUGAGAAGCAAUCAUUUUCAAGAAAGGAGGGAAGAAAGCAGAACCUAAAACCAAAACAACCAAAAUUUGAAUACUACUUUUGCCAUGUGAGAUUGUCUAAUCAGCCUCAUUUUCUUCUAUUGCCAUCAUCAGCCUCUGUUUGUUCUGAUGCUUCAUUUUUAGUAUCUUCAUAGGCUUAUGAAAGCAGAAAGAUUGCCUGGGUUGGAACAAGCCUCUCUACCAUUUUCUGAACCAGAAUAAAUCAAUGCAAAUGCCAGUGGCCGCUCCCACUCGAGACCUUUGAGACCUAGUUGGAAGCAAAGCUAGGUGAAAAUCAGCAAACAGGACACCAUCCUACAAAAGAGUUGCCUGCCGGAAGCAAAAGGGCAUUCCAACAUUCCCUUCCAGAACUGAUCAGCCUGACUAUUCUCCCCACCUCUCCUGCAAGAGGCAAUAAUCUGAUCCUGCAAGCAUUUUAAUAUAUGGCAAAACUUAGAUAUUAGCAGUAGUGUUUAAAGGUGAUAGCUACAUUGGUGCACUUGAGGUAUGCCUUUACUUGUUAUUAUUAAAAAGAAACAGUAAUUCUGGAGAAUUCUAAUAUAAAACUGAAGUACUCUUUGCAUAAGGGAGUAUGAUGGAUUCUCGCACUGCUUGGAAUUGCUGUGCUAGAAGGAAGAUGGGGAAAGGGAAUGAAUAUAGUCAAAUAAAUUAAGCCCUGAAACUCAAAUACUGCUGUGUAAGCAAGCCAACUACAAAUCAAACAGAGAAGUGUUUGCUAAAGAAUACGUGAUCUUAGUUGAAGCUGAAUGAAACCAGGCUCUUUGUACAUAUGUGUAUAUUUCUCUUGGCAUGUGCAAAGACUGGUUUCCCUUGUCUGAGACUUCUUUGGCACAAAGUAUCAUCCAUCCAUGAAGAAGAAAACAAAAGAGUCAUUUUCCCCAAAUGGCAAAGGUAGACUUUUCAAGUAUAGACAAGCCUGUUGGCAAUGGGAGACAAAAUGUGCCUCAUUCCUCUACUUUCCUAAGGAUUCCCAUAUUUCUGAUGUUCUAGAUAUAUAUAUAUCCUGGAAGGUCAGAUCAUGGUGUGGGUCUCUUUACUCUCCAAUUCCUCCCUACAGAUUGCUAUGACAGCCAUCUAUAGGUGUUGUUGAGUACUGUCCAAUCAUAUUAUUUUAUAGAUGAGAAUGCAGAGACAAAAUGAAAUGGAGUGGCACUGUCUUAGUCACAAAUUGGGUUAGUGGCACAGCAGGAGCCUCAUCCACUGGACUCUCAGCUCUAUAGCUUGUUUUCAGGCAUAGCAUGUUCUUAACUUGCCUUUUUUUGAACAGAUAGCUCUCAACUCAGAGCCAAAGCUACUUUCAGCAUCAGUUCAAAUGACACUGUAAUCUCUUGGAGUGGAUAGAAAACUAUGGAGUAGCGCAUAUUUUCUUCCUCCUUAGAACCUCAAGUCAAGUCAACAAUUUCUUUCUAGUUUAUUCUGAUUGUAUUCUAUUUGAUCUAUUUUUCUCUAGAGUUGUUAAACAGCCUAAGGCCAAAAUCAUUAUGUUCUGACCCAAACAAGGAGAUCAGGGCAGCUCUGUUCUAGGCUGUGUGAAAGUGCAAAGCAUGGGCAGGGUGCAGCAAAUUGUCUGCUUUACCUGGCAUAUAGAUGGCAACCCAAGUGUGAGAGGAAGAGACAUCCAUAAAUGGAAUUCUGUAGGAUAAAUCAGGACGCAGGACAACCUGAGUAAGAUGAAGUGCAUUCAACCUGAACUGCCAAGAUACAGAGGCGAGAACACCAGCCUGUCAAAAGAUAGGCCUUAUAAUCUAUACUUUAUUGCCAUGUUGUCAUAUCACCUUGUGUAGGUCAUUGAACUUUUCUGAUUUCCAGUUCCCUCUCCUGUAAAAAUAAAGAGCUUGGGCUGAAAACUCUCUAAGGCUCUUUCUACUUUGGUUUUGGUUCUCUGAAUGAGUAGAUGACAUGUACAGAUAACUUUAUUGUCCUUCCCUUUCCUUUUUAGACUAGGAAGCUUAGGAAGGAGACCUAGAUGAUGUGAUUUUGUUUCUCAACUCUUCCUGUAGAUUCUGGGUAUCACAGAGUUGUAGUCAAAUCAUACCAUUAUGUACUUGAUAGGUCCUUUAUCCGUGAACUUGUACUAAACCUUGUUCCCCACCCCUUACCUGUUGAGCACUUGCUGUUCUCCCUUUUCAGUAUUAUCUUAACUUUGAAACCUAA